rnacentral:lncRNA from 1 species
CCUUUCCUUCUUUCCUUUCUCUAUGUAUAUCUCUCCCUCCCUCUCUUUCUAUUAUAGUCUCUCCUAUAUGUUAGGAAGGUUUGAGUCUCUCCAUUAUCUUCUCUUUGAUGUUCUCCACUUAAUUAAAUGAAUGAGACCUGACAUCCUCCGGAAAAGAACAGUAUUGGUCCUCUAGUAUCUCUUGUAUUGAAGAACCAGGAGACCACAUGUCACGGCCAACCUCUCCCUCGAUUCCUCAAGAUCCCCUCGUCACCAUACAAGUAAGGAUGAGGAGUGGGUGGAGUGAGGGGAGGUGUGGUCAUAAAGGAAGUUGUGAUGAUGAAAGCUAUGCUACCUCCUGAAGGUUCCCCGUCAUGGACUGGUGGUAUAUUACGUGUAUGUAGUGGGUCAAUAUUACAGUGGGACUCACGUCUACCAGGAGACUAUUAGACCACACCCAGGAGGUCUGUGGGAUUCACUGGUCACCAAAUCAUCAGCAACUGGUGUCAGGAGGAAAUGAUAAUAUAGUUAUGGUAUACUGUUACUGUUCUUAUGGGGUACCCAAUGUAUGCUCCUUUUCAUCAAAGAGGAAGAAUUACUCUAACAGCUAGAUCAGUAGCGUUGCUGAGGAAAAUAACUGUUGCUAUGACAACUGUACUCGUACAUCCAGGAAGAGAUACUCAACAAUAUUUUACAUU